GCUGGGCCUGGUGGCACACGCCUGUAGGGCCAAGUGGGAGGAUCCUCAAGUGGGAGGAUCACUUGAGCCUGGGAAGUCAAGGCUGCAUUGAGAUGUGAUCCCGCCACUGCAUUCCAGCUCCAGCCUGGGCAACAGAGAGAGACCCUGACUCAAAAGGUUGAAAAAAAAAGAAUUUUCAAAUUUUAAACAUUUUCCCCACAGGGUCAACUUCUCCCUGUGACCGAGCAUACAAUGAAGCUAUUAUUUAAGAAAUUGCAUUCUGUAUUAAACCCUUUAUUAUGAUCAGUAUCUCAUUGCAUCCUCAAUCUUGCACACUGUCAGCCUCAUUUUACAGACAAGGAAAGCUGACCUUCUAGAAAUGACUUUCCCAAUAUCAGAGAAAUAGGAUUUGAACAUAAGGCUAACUGACUCUAACACGUUAUCACUGUAUCACUGAGUACAGCCUUUAAGAAAAGCUCAACACUGGGCCAGGCACGGUGGCUCACCUAAUUUUUUUUUUAAUUUUAUUUAUUGGCCGGGUG
rnacentral:lncRNA from 1 species